UUAGCUGGAACAUGUACAGACAAGCUCAUGAGAUAUUCUGGGUUUCCUAAACCAUUUCUGCUGUGGGACUCUUGACUGUAGGUUCCUUGGGGCAGGUUCUUUCUUCCAAGUCUUUCAAAUUGGGCACAGACCACCCAAUCCCUUGGCUUAUACGUAUGAACUCUGCACAGAUUUUCUUUGUUGGGAUCUCUUUAUCCCUUUGGGUGAUCUUUUGGAUAAUGUCCCCUUUAACAUGGAUUUAGAGGAGUCCUUCUCUUGGACCAAGCAAAAACUCAUAUAUUCUUUCUUUCUUACAGAUGGAAGGGCAGCAGUCUACCAGUGUAGCUCUGAUUCUCUUUGCUACCCAAGACAAAACUUCAAGAGGUCUGAACUAAUGAAGACACCCAAGCCAGUAGCAUUUCUAGCACUCCUUGAAAACUGAGACUUCACAUGCAAAAAAUACUACUCAAUUUGGACAAAGUUAAGACAUUAUUUAUGCUCUCCAAAGAGUCAAUUUUGGGGUUCAUCUCCAGUAAUGCCUUUUGGUCUUUGGAAUGGUAAAUAAAUCCACUGCCAUCCUGUAUCCCUAAGAGUCU
rnacentral:lncRNA from 12 species